UUUUAUUAUAGUAACAUAGUGCUCAAGUUAGCCUAGCUAAAACACUAAUGGAAUAUAUUGGCCGUGUUAGUGAAAAAUAUGAAGUAAGGUUGGCUUCGGGCUUGUUUUGUUUCAACAGUUAAAGUAUGUCAUCGUUAUCUUGUUUGUUUCCACCUCUCUCUUUUACUAGCUGACAUUUCGUCUGAAGACUGACUUACCGUUAUGAUUACAAGAUGUCUGCCAAGAGUUCCCAGAUCUUCAUUAUUCUGUAAUGAACUAAAGAGUAAGAUUGCCAGAUGAAAUUCAGAGCACCCAGUUAAAUUUGAAUUUCUGAUGAACAGCAUUUUUUUUUUUGGUCUAAGUAUGUCUUAUGAAAAAUUAUUCAUUGUUUAUCUAAAAUUCAAAUUUAACUGGUCAUCCUGUAUUUUACUUGCUAAAUCUGGCAAUCUUACUAAGGGAAGAAAUACAGCUUUGCUUUGGGAAACUCUUAAAAACUGAGGAAACUUCUUUUCAGAAGUUCUCUCAAAAUAUCUUCUCAUGUUUCAUUUUCUCAACUUUGUCAUGCAUCAUGCCUGAAUAAGUAAUGAUUCUCAGGAGAUGAGAUUUUGAAUGUUUUGUUUAGACUGAGCUGCAUGUUGCACUACAUUUCCGGAGAAGUAUAACCAUAAUACCCUAAAAUUUGGGGUGGGUUGUGAAGAGUAGGAUACUAGCUAACUGUUGAGGAAGUGACAGCAAGAGUUAUAUUUCAAAAUAUAAUGGCAGAGGCAAUGUAACAUAAUUUUAAAUAACACGGAAUUUGAAGCCACACCGUGUGGAUCUUCUGUGUGUUAGCAAUGUAACCUCGGGCAAGCUGCUUAACUAACCCUCCGUGCAUCAGUUACUUCACUUUUGAAACUGGCCUUAUAAUAGUAUCUACUUCAUGAUAGUUUUUAUUUAACGUAUAUAAAGUACUUAAACAGUAGUUUGCCUAUAGAAAAUCUUUAUCUUAUGAUAAUCAGCAUAAGGAAAACACACCUCAAAAUGACAUUUUGGAAAAUCUACAAAUGAAUUAUCAUUAAUUCAUGAAUGUCCUAAUUUAGACCGAGUGGAAGAGUACCCUUAAAACUUAUUUUUACUGAUGUUUCUUGAGCAUUUUGUGGGAAGAAAAUUUAUUGGAGCUGUGGACAUCAAUUUAGAUACUUAUUGAAGUUUAGCUAGUACCCAAUUGUGUAAUUUUCUUAUUGUAGCAACAACAGUUAAUAUGAGAUCUAUCUACUUAAUAAAUUGUCAGCAAAUCUCUAGAACGUCUUCAUCUUGUGUAACGAAAACUUUACACCUAUUGAAUAACAGCUCCAAUUUCCCCCUCCCCCAACCUCUGGCAACUACCAUUCUUCUCUCUGCUUCUUUGAGUUUGACUAUUUUAGAUAACUCAUGUAAGUGGAAUAAUGUACUUACUUGUUCUUCUGUGGCUGGUUUAUUUCACUUAGCAUAAUGUCCUCCAGGAUCAUCCCUUUUGUCCCAUAUGGCAGCAUUUCCUUCUUUUUUAAGGCUGAAAAAUAUUCCAUUGUGUGUAUAUGCCACGUUUUCUUAAUCCAUUCAUCCAUUGAUGGGCAUUCAUGUUGCUUCCAUAUCUUGGGUGUUAUGAAUAAUGCUGCAAUCACACAAUCACACAAGAGUCCAGGUAUCCCUCUGAGAUCCUGAUUUCAAUUCUUUUGGACAUAUACCCAGAAAUGGGAUUUCCGGAUCACACGGUAGUUCUAUUUUUAAUCUUUUGAGGACCCACCACACUCGUUUCCAUGGUGGCUGUCCCAUUUCUAUUCUCACCAAGAGUGUACAAGGGUUACAAUUUCUCCACAUCCUUGCCAACACACUAAAACAGUAUGGUAUUGGCAUGAAGAUAGACAUAUAGACCAAUAGAACAGAAAAGAGAGCCCACAUGGGUAAUAAGAAUACACAAUGGGGAAAGGAUAGUUUUUUCAACAAAUGCUGGCAGGAACACUGGACAUCUAUAUGAAAAAGAACGAAAUUGGAACCUUAACUUUCACAAUACACAAAAAUCAACUCAAAAUGGAUCGAAGACUUAAACAAAAAUCUUGGAGCUGUAAAACUAGAAGAAAACACGGGGGGAAAGCUUCUUGACAUUUGGCUUAGCAAUUACUUUUUGGAUAUGAAAUCAAAAAGCAAAAACAGAUGUGGGGCUAUAUCAAACUAAAAAGCUUCUGCACAGCAAAGUUAAUAGCCAACAAAAUGAAAGGCAAGCUAUAGAAUGUGAGAAAAAUAUUGCAAACUAUAUAUCUGAUAAAGGAUUAAUAUCCAAAAUAUAUAAGGAGCUCCUAUAACUCAGUAGCAAUAAUAAUAAAAACAAUAUUCUCACUAAAAGUGGGCAAAGGACUUGAAUAGACAUUUAUCCAAAAAAGACAUACAAAUGGGCAACAGGUAUCUGAAAACGUGCUCAAUGUCACUAAGCAUCAGAGAAAGGCAAAUUAAAACCACAAUGAGGGGCCGGCCCGGUGGUGCAGCAGUUAAGUGCACACAUUCCACUUCAGCGGCCUGGGGUUCACUGGCUCGGAUCCCGGGUGCGGACAUGGCACUGCUUGGCAAAGCCAUGCUGUGUAGGUGUCCCACAUAUAAAGUAGGGGAAGAUGGGCACGGAUGUUAGCUCAGGGCCAGUCUUCCUCAGCAAAAAAGAGGAGGGUUGGCAGUGGAUGUUAGCUCAGGGCUAAUCUUCCUGAAAAAAAAAAAAACCACAAUGAAAUAUCACCAGACACCUGUAAAAAUGUGACUAUUAAAAAAAGUCAUUGUUUCAUAAUUUCUGUAAAUAAUAAGACUAAAUUAUUCG
ensembl:lncRNA